UACGGGGGGGGCAAGCGUUGUUCGGAAUUACUGGGCGUAAAGGGCUCGUAGGUGGCCAACUAAGUCAGACGUGAAAUCCCUCAGCUUAACUGGGGAACUGCGUCUGAUACUGAGUGGCUUGAGUGCAGGAGAGGGAUGCGGAAUUCCAGGUGUAGCGGUGAAAUGCGUAGAUAUCUGGAGGAACACGGUGGCGAAGGCGGCAUCCUGGACUGUAACUGACACU
rnacentral:rRNA from 1 species